rnacentral:rRNA from 1 species
UGAGGAAUAUUGGUCAAUGGGCGGAAGCCUGAACCAGCCAUGCCGCGUGCAGGAAGGAGGCCCUACGGGUUGUAAACUGCUUUUACCCGGGAAGAAACCGCCCCCUGCGGGGGGCGUUGCCGGUACCGGGGGAAAAAGGAUCGGCUAACUCCGUGCCAGCAGCCGCGGUAAUACGGAGGCUCCGGGCGUUAUCCGGAAUUACUGGGUUUAACGGGUGCGUAGGCGGGGCUUUAAGCCGGCGGUGAACUGCAGCGGCUCAACCGCUGGAAUGCCGUUGGGACUGGGGCUCUUGGAUACGGUCGGGGGGGGUGGAACUCGUGGUGUAGCGGUGAAAUGCAUAGAUAGCACGAGGAACGCCGGUAGCGAAGGCAGCUCGCCGGGCCGGUAUUGACGCUGAGGCGCGAAAGCGUGGGGAUCGAACA